UACGUAGGGGGCAAGCGUUGUCCGGAAUCAUUGGGCGUAAAGAGCUCGUAGGCGGUUUGGCAAGUCGGGUGUGAAAACUCCGGGCUCAACUCGGAGACGCCACUCGAUACUGCCAUGACUCGAGUCCGGUAGGGGAGUGCGGAAUUCCUGGUGUAGCGGUGAAAUGCGCAGAUAUCAGGAGGAACACCGGUGGCGAAGGCGGCACUCUGGGCCGGUACUGACGCUGAGGAGCGAAAGCGUGGGGAGCGAACAGG
rnacentral:rRNA from 1 species